AUGAACCCUUCUCCAGCUUUAGUGACUGUGAUGCUGCUUGUGCUUGGGAGGAUCCAUGGAGACUCAGUGACCCAGAAACAAGAUCAAGUGACCCUCUCAGAAGACAGUGUUCUAUUUAUAAACUGCACUUAUUCAUCCACAGGGUACCCAACUCUUUUUUGGUAUGUUCAAUAUUCUGGAGAAAGCCCCCAGCUCCUUUUGAAAGUUACAACAGCUGGUGAGAAGCGAAGCAGCAGAGGGUUUGAAGCCACAUAUGAUAAAGGAACCACCUCCUUCCACUUGCAGAAAUCCUCAGUGCAAGUGUCAGACUCGGCUGUGUACUACUGUGCUCUGGGUGACACAGUGACAGACACUGCAGGGGAAGCUGAGCACAAACCCCGAGAAGCAAAAGAAAGCCUGACUUCUGAUCAUCUGCCUUUUAGGUCACCCUUUUCUAGACAGAACAUACGUCUUUACGAGUCACAAGCAGCCAAUCUUACUUUCGAUUCGUCGCGGCGUUUUCUGAGCCAUCCGGAUCCAUCCAUGCAAACCUCCAUCCGGCAGUGGUCCAUGCUUCGGCCCCACGUUGGGCGCCACUUGUACCCGCUGCGGGACUAG